AACACCACAGCUUAAUGUAGUAGAUGGCAGUGUAAAUUUC
rnacentral:guide_RNA from 1 species